GAUCCUAUGGCGCAGCGGUAGCGUAUGAUAGUGCCUAGCACCCCAUCAGUUGGUAACCGACUAACGGUUCAGCAGGCGUCUGAUUCCAGUUCUCUUGGAGAUUCCAGAAGGUCAUCCGUUCAAAUCGGGUUAGGAUCA
rnacentral:tRNA from 1 species